UUUAUCCCUCCAAUCAAGACAUGACAUGUGGCCCACUAAGGGGGGGGGGGGGGAUUUCCACAAUGUCUCUUUGCUCUCUCUCAGACCUUUUUGAAGACUAAAUACUCUUCUCUCUCGGCAUAACAAAAAACAAAAACCACACCCACAAAAUCUGCUCACGAUUUUUUUCUUUCUCAAAAAAAUCCUCUCUCUCUCUUCCUACAAAAACAAUACCACGCCAUAU
rnacentral:lncRNA from 1 species